GACGAGCGCUGGCGGCGUGCUUAACACAUGCAAGUCGAACGGAAAGGCCUGCUUUCCCUUGUGGAUUGCGGGUACUCGAGUGGCGAACGGGUGAGUAACACGUGAGUGAUCUGCCCCCAACUUGGGUAUAAGCCUGGGAAACUGGGUCUAAUUCCCGAUAGGACUGCAGGGUGGUGCCUGUGGUGGAAAACGAUUUUCUAGUGGUUGGGGAUGAGCUCGCGGCCUAUCAGCUUGUUGGUGGGGUAAUGGCCUACCAAGGCGGCGACGGGUAGCCGGCCUGAGAGGGUGGACGGCCACAUUGGGACUGAGAUACGGCCCAGACUCCUACGGGAGGCAGCAGUGGGGAAUAUUGCACAAUGGGCGGAAGCCUGAUGCAGCGACGCCGCGUGGGGGAUGACGGCCUUCGGGUUGUAAACUCCUUUCGACCGCGAGGAAGCCACCUGGUUGGAAGGGUGGUGACGGUAGUGGUAGAAGAAGCACCGGCUAACUACGUG
rnacentral:rRNA from 1 species